UACGUAGGGUGCAAGCGUUGUCCGGAAUUAUUGGGCGUAAAGAGCGCGUAGGCGGUCCGAUAAGUCGGCUGUGAAAGUCAGGGGCUCAACCCUUGAAAGCCGGCCGAUACUGUCGGACUAGAGUCCGGAAGAGGCAAGUGGAAUUCCCGGUGUAGCGGUGAAAUGCGCAGAUAUCGGGAGGAACACCAAUGGCGAAGGCAGCUUGCUGGGACGGUACUGACGCUGAGGCGCGAAAGCAUGGGGAGCGAGCGGG
rnacentral:rRNA from 1 species